CUGUACAUUUUUGAAUAGGCGCAAACUUGAAAACGCACGAGACGUUGGAAGUGGGAAUUUGUAGAGUGGAAGAAUCAGUAUUUGUGAUCUAUUAUUUGCAUAAUCACUAUGCCGUUUUCGUAUUGCAUAAUUUUAUUUCGAUCGGGUUCAAUAUUCUGUUUAUACUAAUUAUGGUAGCCAUGCGGUUUGCCUGGCGUUUUGGCUGUUAAGUUUGGUGAUGUUGGCCUCCCUAAGGAUUUUUCACCCUCUCACAAGGUGUGUCCAAUAAACAGUACAGUCACUGAUCUUUGUCAACUUUUUAAGAAAAUAACAGAAUAUGAAGAAGGAAGACUAUAUAUAGGAUCGAUCUACUUCAUAACUGG